rnacentral:snRNA from 1 species
AAAUGUGAAGAUGAUCUGUUGAUCACUAGGAUUGAUUCAGCUGGCCUGGAUGGCUGGGUUGGAAUCCUCCUCCUCCCUCACUACUCCAUGUGUAGCCUUCCUGAAGCUGUGGGCUGGGCUGAAACGAUGAUCUUUCCCAACAAAAGAUGGUUCUUUAGUCAAGAGUGAACUAGGAGCUGUACUCCCUGCUGGACUUUCCAAACCCAUUCUCACAGCACCACAUUUAAAAUAGAAGGUAGAAUUCCAAGUCUCACAGGAAUAUCUAUCAAGUGAU